ACCUGCGGAAGGAUCAUUGUCGUGACCCUAACAAAAUAGACUGUGAAUGUGUCAUCCAUUGCGUCGGGUGAUGGUCUUUGCACCGUCUCCCGGCAUAGGCCCUUGUCCUUCUGAUGGAGGGGAGGGCCCCAAAAGAACCCACGGCGUCGGAUGGCGUCAAGGAACACUGAUGUUGCUUGCACAGGGCUACGGUUGGCCUGCUGAACGAGCCUUGUGCUGCGAUGCUACCUGAAUCCAAAAGACUCUCGGCAACGGAUAUCUUGGCUCUCGCAUCGAUGAAGAACGUAGCAAAAUGCGAUACCUGGUGUGAAUUGCAGAAUCCCGUGAACCAUCGAGUUUUUGAACGCAAGUUGCGCCUGAGGCCUCUUGGUCGAGGGCACGUCUGCCUGGGCGUCACGACAAAAGACACUCCCCCCUGCACAAUCCUGGUGUGGGAUGUGGCAUUUGGCCUUCCAUUCCACUUUGGAGGUGUGGUAGGCUAAAGUAAGUGGUUGCUGGCUAUGGUGCCAGUCACAGCACUUGGUGGACGACACACGUUGUUCUCGGAGUUGUGACUUGUACUGCUUUCGGCGACUUGGCCCCUUGGACCCAUGGAUGGAGCAUCAAUUGCUUCCACCGCGACCCCAGGUCAUUCGGAAUUACCCGCUGAAUUUAAGCAUAUCAAUAAG
rnacentral:rRNA from 1 species